ACAUGCGCUGGCCGCACGCAGCGCCCCCUCCUCGGUGUCCGGUGUCCGACGGCCGCCCCGCUGUCCUUGAUCUUGCUGGAGUACUAGACGCCCUUGGUGCCGCGGGUGAGAAUGUCAGGGUCCGGGCGGUGGGCCGAAAACACCAGAUCUUGCAGGUCUUCGCGGCGUGUUUGUGCUUCUGAGUGAGGCAGCCGCGCGCUGCUGCGUGUUGGGAGGCCUGGGCGGAUCGAGCACACUCCUCUCCCGCCGCGCAGUUUCAUGGUACGAGAGGACUGGGUCGGAUUCCUUGAUGUGCUGAGCCUCCUCCAGGCCUUUCGGCCAGAUCUCCAGGUGCACCUCCCUGGCCCGUGAAACGAUAGGCUCCCUCCGUUGUCCAGUGACGCCCCGCCCUUUGGGGUGACCUGGCCAGCUACUUCAGGCCCUCUCCCAGUUUGGGCUGCCUGCCCAGAUUCUUGGCCUCCACAACAAAUUUGACACCUGACUCACCGUCGAGCUUCAUCAGCUGGGUAUGGGAGUGCUCCGAGGUGGCCGUCUUCAUCAGGAACUAGUCAACUCCUACCAGGCCUACCAUGUUCCUGCAAGCUUCUGACGUGUGCAUUCCAUGGGCUGAUCACAACUAGCAGCAGAGGCAAGACAACCAGAUUGAUAAAGUCCAUGGAGGUCAGCCUCUGCGACACAGCAGGAUGGGAUGGAUGGAAGUGAUCCCAGACCUAUUAGAAAAGUAUAGUGGUUGUGACUGGAAACCUGGCAUCAUGAAGGGAGGAGCAGAACUGUCCUAAAGUACUGUUCAUAUCUUCAAAGGGAGAUAGCCAAAACUGUGGUAUAUUCAGGGCUCAAGUUUUUAUAAACGGGUGCGGAUCUGACCAUGGUGCUGAAAUGUGUUAGUAGAACUUCUACAUCGUGGAUUCAGUGUAUAUGGAAGAAAGCACAUUUUGUAGUAAUAAUCUUAUAUCUCUCUUUGUGUUUGAUAAAAGAUAAGAGAAGUAAUGGAGAUACCCAGGAUUUAAAAUCAAAUUGGUCUGGCAUUUACUACCCUUAUAACUUGAUCAAGUUAUUGAAACUUUCUGAGUUCAGAUUUUUCAUUUAUCUGAUGGUUGUCAUACUAGAUAUAUUUUAUAGGAUCGUUAAGGAUUGCACGUAGUACUAUAAAAGCAUCUUAUAUAAAAAGGAUGCCAAUACACAUUAGAUCUUUUUCUCUUUCCCCAUAAUCUUUUAUUGAAGAAGUAAUGUCUAAUUCCUUACCAACUUGUACAGUUCUAGAUAACUUCAUUUAUAUGAUGACACUUGCUAGGAUAGUCAGUUAUAUAAACUUGAUUUAUCAUGAAUGGGACAUUUUUGGACUGAACAAUAUUAAAACUGUGUAAAUGUAUUGGUGUAAUCCACAAGUGAUUUCAACUUCCAGAGGGAUUUCACAUGAUAGACACAUUUUUGGAGAUAGCUAGUUUAUCAUUUUUGCCGAAACUAUUGAGUGAGUAAAUGAUACCUGAUAACACUGUAGCAAAGAUGCUGUGGAAUUCUGCCACUUUUAACAUUUGACUGUGCAUCAAGAGACAUUUUGUACUACUAUUCUCUUUUUAUUUAAAAAUC